rnacentral:misc_RNA from 1 species
GAUGAAGAACGUAGUGAAAUGCGAUAAGUAAUGUGAAUUGCAGAAUUCAGUGAAUCAUCGAAUCUUUGAACGCACAUUGCGCCCCUUGGUAUUCCGAGGGGCAUGCCUGUUCGAGCGUCAUUAUAACCCUCAAGCUCAGCUUGGUGUUGGGGCCUGCUGCACUGGCAGCCCUUAAAAUCAGUGGGGGCGCCAUCUGGCUCUAAGCGUAGUAAUUCUUCUCGCUAUGGAGUCCUGGUGGAUGCUUGCCAUCAACCCCCAAUUUUUCUAUGGUUGACCUCGGAUCAGGUAGGGAUACCCGCUGAACUUAAGCAUAUCAAUAAGCGGAGGA